AUUACAACUAUCUUAUUAUCUUGAUAAAUUGGUAAUUCUAGUAAUAAUUUUUUUUUUCCAAUAAGUAGAUCUUUAGAGAAUUCCAAUCUGACAAGUAACACAUAAUUAAUAUACGUGUUAUGUUAUAUUUCAAUUUUUCGCGCGAUUUUUGAAUGAAAAAAAUAAGCAUCAUGAGCCAGCCAAUCAGAACGUCGCUUUAUUCAAGUAGUCGCGGGACUCAUUGCGCAUCGUAGUGCGCAUUACACUGCGCAUUACACUGCGCAUGUCGUCAGUCUACAGUUGAAAAUUGUGUGGAGUGGACGUGUCGUCGCGAAUUGUGAUUAUCGCAGUUUAAUUGGUAGCGUUAUGGUAAUAUUCUCGAAGGCGGGAAAAAUUCCAAUAUGGACGCCAUUGGUGACUUUUUUUCGUGGUAAAAUUUUACAUUUCGUGUAAAUUAUUUUUUAAUUAUUAAUCCAGUAAUUGAGUUUGUUACAGAUAUGAAAUAUGAAAAAUAGAAGAAAAUAAACAGGAAAAAAUAGAUAGAUAAUAAUGUGUUAUCCUCAUUUGUUGGAAAUUAAUUACCUUUGUUAUUGUUGUUGUUUCACUAAUUCUGUUCUAUAGUUUGUUUCAGAAAUCUCCUUCAGCUUUCAACAAUGGAUUAUGUGGAAUGGAUUACAUCUUAUCAUCAGAUAAAUAUUCUAAUUUUUUAUAUUAGGUAAUAUAGAAUAGGUUGUAGGAAACAUUUAGCUUUUUUUCUUGAUAGAUGGGAUUUAUAAACGAUGUUCUGUUCUUCUUCUUCUUAUUGUUAAAAAAAGCAGCUUCGCUUUCCCCACUUUGAUUCGUUUUCCAAAUCAACAUUUCCUAUUUUUCAAGGCAAUAUGAUCAUUUUGCUAUCCUUAAUUCCUUAAUUUCCUCAUUAUAAACAAAUGCUUGAUACUUGAUAGCUACAUGACUUUGUUCAUUAGCCAUCAUUGGUAUAUACUGAUUUGCAUUUUCCUCUUGCCACAUGUGGUUUUAUGUCGUAUCACAAAUUUUUUGGAAUUUGUGUGUCAUCAAUCAGUGUGAAUGUAAAUAUGAUGAAUGUUGAUACGAAGAGAAUUUGUUAGAUGUUCAAUCAAAGCUGAAUUAGGAACAAAGUGUUUAAAUUCUUAUAUAGAUAAGAAAUAUAAAAAAAAAACUUUCAGAAUAAAUUAAAUGUUAAUGUUAUAUUUUUAAUUCAAGUUUGUUUCAGGAUUUCUUACAGGAACAGAAGAUUGUAUAAUUGAUUAAAAAAAAGUGUAUUUAAAAUUAAGUGCAUGCAGAAUCAAGGGUAUUAAAUAAAGUUAUGUAUUGUAGAAAAGUAGAUACUGUAGAUAAAUAGGUGGAUAACAUACAUUUAGGAAAGGAGAAUUUAUUUACGAAUAAAAUAAUUUGGGAAAUUUAUAAA